GCGAGCGUUGUUCGGAAUUACUGGGCGUAAAGAGUGUGUAGGCGGUGCUCUAAGUUCGGUGUGAAAUCUCCCGGCUUAACUGGGAGGGUGCGCCGGAAACUGGAGUGCUCGAGCGUGGGAGAGGAAAGCGGAAUUCCUGGUGUAGCGGUGAAAUGCGUAGAUAUCAGGAGGAACACCUGCGGUGUAGACGGCUUUCUGGACCAUUGCUGACGCUGAGACACGAAAGCGUGGGUAGCAAACAGGAUUAGAUACCCUGGUAGUCCACGCCCUAAACGAUGCAUACUUGGUGUCGGCCAUUCAGUUGGUCGGUGCCCGAGCUAACGCGUUAAGUAUGCCGCCCGGGGAGUACGGUCGCAAGGCUGAAACUC
rnacentral:rRNA from 1 species